rnacentral:rRNA from 1 species
GGCUCAGUAACACGUAGGUAACCUACCCUCGGGACCGGCAUAACCUUGGGAAACUGAGGCUAAUUCCGGAUAGGCAAAUGCUACUGGAAUGUGCAUUUGUCAAAAGCUCCGGCGCCUGAGGAUGGGCUUGCGGCCGAUUAGGUUGUUGGCGGGGUAACAGCCCACCAAGCCGACGAUCGGUACGGGCAGUGAGAGCUGUAGCCCGGAGAUGGGGACUGAGACAAGGCCCCAGGCCCUACGGGGCGCAGCAGGCGCGAAACCUCCGCAAUGCUCGAAAGAGUGACGGGGGUACUCCGAGUGUCUAUGCUUAGCAUAGACUGUUCUCUGGCGUAAAUAGUCAGAGGAGUAAGGGCUGGGCAAGACCGGUGCCAGCCGCCGCGGUAACACCGGCAGCCCUAGUGGUGACCGUUUUUAUUGGGCCUAAAGCGUCCGUAGCCGGAUAGGCAAGUCUUUGGGUAAAUCCUAUGUCUUAAGCGUGGGAAUUCUAAAGAUACUACUUAUCUUGAGGCCGGGAGAGGCUAGAGGUACUCCUGGGGUAGGGGUAAAAUCCUAUAAUCCUGGGGGGACCACCGAUGGCGAAGGCAUCUAGCUGGAACGGACCUGACGGUGAGGGACGAAACCCAGGGGAGCGAGCCGGAUUAAAUACCCGGGUAGUCCUGGGCGUAAAUGAUGUGGGCUUGGUGUGAAAAUAUCGAAGAGGUACUCUUGUGCCGUAGGGAAGCCGUUAAGCCCACCGCCUGGGGAGUACGGUCGCAAGGCUGAAACUUAAAGGAAUUGGCGGGGGAGCACUACAAGGGGUGGAGGCUGCGGUUUAAUCGGAUUCAACGCCGGGAAACUCACUGGGAGCGACAGCAGAAUGAUGGCCAGGUUGAUGACCUUGCUUGACGAGCUGAGAGGAGGUGCAUGGCCGCCGCCAGUUCGUACCGUGAGGCGUACUCUUAAGUGAGUCAACGAACGAGACCCCCAUCUGCAGUUACCAGCAAAUCCCUUCGGGAUGUUGGGGACUCUGCAGGGACCGCUGCUGCUAAAGCAGAGGAAGGGGGGGGCAACGGUAGGUCAGUAUGCCCCGAAUCUCCCAGGCUACACGCGGCCUACAAUGGACAAGACAAUGGGUUCUGACAUCGAAGAUGAAAGUAAUCUCCUAAACUCGUCCCAAGUUCGGAUUGAGGAUUGUACUCAUCUCAUGAACUG